GACUGGGGAGAGGGAGCAGGGGGAGGAAAGGCAACCAACCAAGAACAAAGACUAUCUAAAUCAGAAUAAGCUGACAACAUAUCAGACAUCCAGAAUCCUUUUAGGAGAGACACUUACAAAGUGUCUGUUUUGCAGGGCAGGUUUCACUUGAAGAGCUUGACUAGCCUAGAGCACAUAUUGGGCUUCCUGGUUCCAGAAUUCCUGGAUCCAUUUGCACUAACCUGGAAAAUAAGUUUGCCAUGGUAUGAAAUUCUCAGUGAAUAGGGUUAUUAUUUGUUUGUGUGAGGCACCAUUCAUCAGAAGAUCUGAAAGCAUGCGACAAAGGAGGCCUUGAGCAUUAUCUCUGUUUUAUGAAUUGAAGAACAGAGAGAGGAUGCACCUUGCCUGAGGUCAACAGAUCAAUGGUGAAUCCAGGUGUCCCUCAAGCAGUUGUCAAUGUUGCUUCAGGUGCACCUCAAAUAGAAUUAGACAUGAACCAACAGAAAAUAGCCUGUUCUUGGAGAAAAUGGCACAUCCUCAGAUUUUUAAAGGUGUUUAAAGGGAGUUGCAGAGACACCUCCAACCACAGCAGUCUUGUGCAGUUUGAAGGCAGAAACUGUUGCUGAAAUCUGGGUUGCGUUUACUACAACUGUCCAGAGAAGUAUCAUUUGCUCCCACUUCAAAAUCAGGUACCAAAUGAGAGAAGGUUUGAGAGGGAAACAGUCCAGCUGUUAUGAAUAGUUAUGGAAUAAUUCACUCCCAAAGUUCAAAAGCCUUGGAUUAAAUUUCAAAGGUCCUGCCUCACAGGAGGUGCGGGCUUGUACCCUUGUCUGGCAUUUCACAUCUACUGGGCUUCCUCGGCGUAGAUAGCAGAGUGCACUAUGCGAGAUGUGGGCUUCUCCCUCUGCGGUCUCCUUACUCUGGAAGCUGUGGAUAACAGCAAGCUCAGUGCAUGCCACUCCUGCCAAAAAGCAAGCAGUGAGCGAGGAGACAAACCAACCCUUCAAAGAGAGCCAAAGUCUUCCAGCGCAGCUCAGUGCAAAGGGAAGGCAGAGAUUUGUGGCUGUUCUGUUUUGUUUUAAACUAAACUGUUUAGGCCAUCCAUACCCCUUCCAAUUUUUUGGUCUCAUCUGAUGAAAACAGAGGAAAUUAAACUAUAUGAGUAGAAGGUGGUUUUUAAUCACAACCACUUUUUCCCCUAGAGACCAAAAGCAUAUGCUUGAAUUAAUGGACCCUUUCCAUUAAUCAAAGGGCCCAGGAUAGAUGCAAGAGAAGUUAGGUUUUCUUCAUCAUGCAAAAACUUCCUCCAGCUCUCUUCAGCAGUUUCACAUGGGGAUGAUGAAGCCAUUUAGCCUAACAAAAGACCUGGCUUGAAUCCUGGAUCAGAAUUCACAUACACAUUAAUUCCUGGUUUUGGCAUUCAGAUAUGAUUAACUCUUCUGUCCCUUUUUACAUGCCUCUCCUUUAAGAUGGCUGAAAAAAACACUUUAAUGCUCAGUUUUAAGUACAGAAAAAAGGCUAAAUUUGAAACACAUGCCUCUCUUCAGCAUGCUGGGAGCUGUAGAUGACACUUUCUCUGUUCCUCAAUAUUGUCAGAUCCCAUUUUGACAUGUAUAAUUCUGUCUGCACUAAAAGCACCAAAUUUUAUGCUAUGAUUCUACUAUGUAGGAAAGACCUAGACACAAUGUGACAGGAUGCUUAGCCCUUUCUACAGCUCUAGUCUUUACCAUGGAAGUCUGUGGCAAAUCAGACAUUUAAACUUUUUUUCUGCUAUGUCAAAGUAAAGCCUUCACAGCCCUGCACAGCUGGAGAAGAGAUGACCACAUGCUAUUCCUCAUGGGUCUAAGGAUAAUCAAGACUGAACUUGAAGGAAACCAACACAAUUUCCAUGACAAAGGAGGAUUCUGCUGUUAUACUCUCAUUUAUGUGUCAUGUGUACAUUUGGCAGCAUUUGAUCUUUAUUCUCUAGACACUUAAGAAAUAAUCUAGGAAUUAUUGCUCCUUGACAAUACAAACAAAUAAGGCUAUCUAUAAAUAAACCUCAGCAAGGACGGGGGGAGGGUCGCUUCAUACCCGCAGAGGGACUGCUUCAGGGCUAGUUCUCAUUUAUUUUUUGGCCAUCACUGGGGAUCAGGAGGUCACCCUCCUUUCUGAGCCCUUUUGUACGAGGCCAUGCCCAGGGAAGACAGGCCCUCACAUAAAACACCUCUGAAGAAAUUGGCUGACUUUUUUCCCCUGUUGUUGCCAGUUUCCCUGACAGGGAGCUGGGUUUUAGCAGGCCUGGGGAAGGCAGGAGGUGACAUCCCAACGGGCAGCAUGGCCUCCAUGGCCCCCUCCUCAGUACCUGUGGCACUGGAAGCCAGGCUUUGCUUGCAAACCAGAGGGAAGAAAAGGUUUUGCAUCAGCUAUUUAACCUCAUCUCCACUCUAUUAAUUUCAGUUUGAAAACCCAGGAAGUGUAAUAGUCUUUAAAUAAAUUGCAAGCACAAAAACAUUGUUCAGUCUAUGCCAUACUUACGUAGGGCAUUCUUGGUACAUUCUUGCUAGUGCCCACCAGAUGCUGCUCAACUUUUUUUUUUUUUUUUCUUUUAAACUUUACUGUUUGUAGCAUCUCCCCAUGGCUAUUCUUGUUUGCCUUGGGCCUGAUCCAAACAGCUAUGGGAGGAAACAGGCAG